rnacentral:rRNA from 1 species
ACUCCUACGGGAGGCAGCAGUGGGGAAUUUUCCGCAAUGGGCGAAAGCCUGACGGAGCAACGCCGCGUGAGGGAUGAAGGCCUCUGGGCUGUAAACCUCUUUUCUCAAGGAAGAAGAUCUGACGGUACUUGAGGAAUAAGCCACGGCUAACUCCGUGCCAGCAGCCGCGGUAAUAC